GCCACACCGCAUACCUGUGAAACUGUCAGUGGUCCCCUCCGCCACACUCUGGCUUCUGAUAGGAUUCCAGAGCCGGAAAGAUGGUCUUUUUGGCAUAGUUGUUCAUUAUUUAUUUGAGGCAAAAAAGAAAAACGAUUAUUCCAACCUAAGCAUCCUUUGGAAUCUAAAUUCAGGUCUUCUGAGAUUGAAAAGUGUCACACAAUGUAUGCCAGCUCAACAGGGUAGCAGUCUGACUAGAGCCUGGCCUGCGUCCGCGGGGAGCCGGUGGAGGCGGGGAGGCGCCCUCGCUGCGCUCCCGGGCCGGCGCUGCCCCUCCCUACGCCUUCCUCGGGCGGGAGAAGCCAGGGCCUGGGAGGCCGUGGGGGGCUGGGGACCCGCACUCCGGCUGCGCGGUCAGAGCCCCAGGGAGUAGCUGGAGCUCUGGGCGAGCGCAGAGCCAUGGAGCCGUCCUGGCUGGAGACGCGCAGCGCGCGGCCGCUGUACCUGGCGUUUGUGUUCGGCCUGGCCCUGGGGCUGCUGCAGGUCAUCAAGCUCUACCUGCGGAGGCAGCGGCUGCUGCGGGAUCUGCGCCCCUUCCCCGCGCCCCCGACCCACUGGUUCCACGGGCACCAGAAGCUUCUUCAGGAAGAUAAAAUGGAGAAGCUUGAGGAGAUUGUCGAAAAAUAUCCUUGUGCCUUUCCUUGCUGGGUUGGACCCUUUCAGGCAUUUUUCUUUAUCUAUGACCCAGACUAUGCACAGACGUUUCUGAACAGAACAGACCCCAAGUCCCAGUAUCCGUACAAGUUCAUGACCCCAUGUCUAGGAAAAGGACUCCUGAGUCUAGAUGGGCCCAAGUGGUUCCAGCACCACCGCCUACUAACUCCUGGAUUACAGAGUGAUAUCCUGAAAACAUAUGUCAAGGUGAUGGCUCAUUCUGUGGACACAAUGCUGGCGAAGUGGGAGGAGAUCUGUGGUGCUCAGGACACAGCUGUGGAGGUUUACAGGGACAUCAGCUUGAUGGCCCUGGACAUCAUCAUGCAAUGUGCAUUCAGCCAAGAGACCAACUGCCAGAUAAAUGGCACCUAUGAUCCUUAUUUGAAAGCAACAUCUGAACUCAGCAAAAUCAUAUUUUAUCGCUUGUACAACUUCUGGCAUCACCAUGACUUAAUUUUUAAAUUCAGCCCUAUGGGCCACCGCUUCCAGGAGUUGAGCAAAGUGCUCCAUCAGUACACAGAAAAUGUAAUCCAGGACAGAAAGAAAUCCCUCAAGGCUGGAAUGGAACAGGAUACGACUCAGAAGAAAUACCAAGAUCUUCUGGAUAUUAUGCUUGGUGCUCAGGCUGAAAGUGAAGAUGGCUUUCCUGAUGCUGACCUGCAGUCUGAGGUGAGCACGUUCAUGUUGGCAGGGCACGAUGCCUCUGCAGCGAGCCUCUCUUGGCUUCUCUACUGCCUGGCUCUGCACCCUGAGCACCAGGAGCGAUGCCGAGAGGAGAUCAGGAGCACCCUGGGGGAGGGGUCUUCCAUCCACUGGGACCAGCUGGAUGAGAUGUCCUACACAGAAAUGUGUAUCAAGGAGAUGUUCCGAUUGAUUCCUCCGGUGCCAUCCAUCUCCAGGGAGCUCAGCAAGCCCCUCACCUUCCCAGACGGACGCUCGUUGCCUGCAGGAAUGAAUGUGGUUCUCAGUAUUUGGGGUCUUCACCACAACCCUGCUGUCUGGAAUAGCCCACAGGUCUUUGACCCCUUGAGAUUCACUAAGGAGAAUUCUGAUCAAAGACACCCCUACGCUUUCUUAGCAUUCUCAGCUGGACCAAGGAACUGCAUCGGGCAGCAGCUUGCCAUGGUUGAGUUGAAGGUGGCCAUUGCUUUGAUUCUGCUCCGCUUCAGAGUGUCUCCAGACCUCACCCGGCCUCUUUCCUUCUCAAACCACACUGUCCUCAAACCCAAGGACGGAAUGCAUUUGCACCUGAAGAAGCUCUCUGGGUGUUAAACCCAGGGUACAAUGACCGUAUUUUGUUUUUUAAGUUAAGUUUACAGCUGAGCAAAUGAAGAAGAAUCAGAGUGUUAUGGGAUGGUUGGAGAUUUAUCACUCACUGGAGCCUAAUGAGAACUUUAGACUUGUUUUGAAGUACAAGAGGACCCCUUUGAAGAUCUUCCCCCAGAGAUAAUCAAGACCAUUUGGCAUGAAUACAAGACUUUUGCUGUUUAUUUAAAAUUUUCAAAUUAUUUGUCAUAAUUUUGCUGGAAAAUUAACAUGAGAAAAGAAAAGGGUGGCUUCCAUUUCCAAGUAUCCAGUCCCAAGCCAGGAAUGGAGGAGCUGAGCCAGUAUCUUAAAGAAACGACAUAAGCAUGGACAAAAUACUGUGAUUCUUCUUGACCCCUCAACUUUGGAGGUAGCACACGAACACAAAAUAAUGCCCAGUGUUUUACGCACGAACACACAAUAAUGCCCAGUCCUUAAAUUUUUCUGUAUGGAAUAAUGUGCCCAACCAAUUUGCAUCUGAUAGUAAAUGUCUCUCUUAUUCUUUACCUUUUCUAAGUCAUAGACCUUUUUAAAAUCUGAAGAAAAUCAUGGCUCUUCCCCAGGAACUUGUACAUACUCAAAAUGUGAAUACAGUUUAUGGCUUCAUGGCAUUGCUUGCCCAUAAGCCCAUGCCUAGACCUCCUUGAGAGUCCUUCCUCUGCCUUAAUAAUGUUAAGAAUCUUGGGAAAUGGUCAUGACUAAUACUGUAACCCACUAGUCCAAGGGACAAGACAUUCCACCCUUAGGCAGCUAUCAAUCACAAGUGUUUCAUACUACUGACCCAAAACACUCUUCCUUAUAUCUUUUGGCCAUUAGUAAAACUCAAAAUUUCUUUUUCAAUUUAUAAUUUUCAGAGUCUUUUAAUCAUCAUGAUGUAAUUGGACAAAAUGCAAAAUGUGAAUACCCCACCCCCAUGCACAUACCCCAAGUGGAACAUACAGUGUCCUAACAUGUCUGAUAAGGACAGUGACUUUUUCCUUACUUCUCUCUCCCACUCUCACCUAUUGGUCUACAAAUUACUGGGCUGGCCAUCUAGUAUUGCUCCAGAGUCCUCCAUUUUUAAUACUGUUCUGAGAUGCAUAUCCUAUGCCAGAACAAGCUUACCAUACCACCCAUGCUUUCUUCUCUUUCUCACUUGACACCCGUAACAAUUAUUUACCAAAUGCAGAGCUCCUCCUACUUAACUAAAUACAAUUAUAGAUUGUCUGUAACUAUGGCUACAUGCUGAUCCUAUGUAUACCCAUAUAGCCACACCUAACAGAGAGCCUGCUACAUAGUAGGCCCAGUACACAUAUUUCUGUAAUGAAUUAAUGAAUGGAUGAGUGAAUAAGCAAAUGAACUAUGACCACAAGUUAACUUUUACCCUCAGUUGUUAUAUUGAUGCUUUAGCAAAGAACAGUUAUCCAUGCUCUGAGAAAACACACCUUCUAGCUCUGAUUCACAGACCCGUGAUAUCUGUCUCAGCCAGCAAGAGCACAUGUGACUUGGCAAAACUCAUCCCUCUUCAGGGAAUAAUUCAGUAUUCACUUAUCCUUCACUCAUCAGUAUUUAUUGACCAGCCAGCCCCUAUGUGCUGAACAUUGCCCUUGGCACUGGGAACAUAGCAAUGAAUAGACACAGACUUUGAUCUCUUGGAACUUAUAUCAUGGAGAGGACACAAACAAUGUGAAAAGUAAAUGAAUAAGCUGGACAUGGUGGUAUGCAUCUUCAGUCCCAGUCACCUGGAGGGCUGAGGCAAGAGGAUGACUUGAGUACAAGAGUCCAAGGCUAGCCUGGAUUACAGAGCAAAACUUUUUUUUAAGUAAGUCAAUAAGUCAAUAAAAUCCAUAUGUUUGUUAAGUUUAUGCUAGCUAAUAUAACCAAUAAAAACCACAUUAUUAUAGCUUGACCUAACAUAGUAAAAGAAAUCUGUUUUCACUCAUAUAGUAGCUCAAUACAGGUGUUUCUUGUGGGCCAGCGGAUUCCUGGUUGGAGAUUUAGGGCUCCAUUUCCUUUCAUCUUGUGAUGUGCUAUCAUGUAGGAUUUGAGAGUAGUCUGUACCCAUCCAGCAGACAAUGAAGAGGAUGUAGAGAAAGCACACAUUUCUUACCUUCCUUGCCUCAGACAUAACAACCACUGUAUCUGAAUACAUUGUACUGCUGGGAAUUAGUUGGGAGGAUGAAAGUAGAAGCAGAUGUGCAGUUCCUGGCAGGACAGCAACAGCUGUACAAUGUUGAAGAGAAAGCAUAAAUAUUGAUCCUAUCUGCAUCAGUCCAUUCCUUGAGCCACCAAAUAUUGGUUUUAUUUUCUUCUCAAAUAUGAAGACAUUCACUCUGUCCUCAAGGAUUACAAAAUUCAUACCUAGCUAGAUAGCCAAAAUCACAGAGGAGUAAUGUACAUUUCUCUUCCUUGGGCCUGUAUGUGAAUCUUUGUGUUUCAGGGAUCUAUAAACUAAAGGCAAGGUAUCUUUACCCCUUGCUCAAUACACAGGAUGGAGCAGAGGCAGGGACACUAUAAUGAAAACUCCUAAUCUUAUGCCAUAAGUGUAUUUCCCAGAUGCUCUUAAGAGAUGUGACUAUAUGACCAAGUUUGGGCCAAUAGAUGUGAAUAAACUUGAUGUGUGCAACCAA